rnacentral:lncRNA from 1 species
UACCUAUCAGCAGGGCCAUUGCACGAGACAAAAUCCCCUAAAGCGCGUCUGCGAAAAUGGCGAAGAACGAAACUG